GCUCUCAGAACUUAGCUGAUGAAAUCAUUCUCUCAUCGCUCCCAGAAUCACAGAGAAAUUAUCUACAGCUGCAGAUUUUCUUGUGCAUAUCAUG